GAUGAAGAACGCAGCGAAAUGCGAUAAGUAAUGUGAAUUGCAGAAUUCAGUGAAUCAUCGAGUCUUUGAACGCACAUUGCGCCCAUUAGUAUUCUAGUGGGCAUGCCUGUUCGAGCGUCAUUAAGUCCACUUAAGCCCUGCUUAGUGUUGGGAGACUGCUCCAGCGGUGCUACCCUGUAGCUACCCUGCAGCUCCUCAAAGACAGCGGCGGAGUUGUGGUAUCCUCUGAGCUUAGUAACUUGUUCUAGCUUUCGAGUACACCACUUCCCCUGCCGUAAAACCCUUAAUUUUUAAUGGUUGACCUCGGAUCAGGUAGGAAUACCCGCUGAACUUAAGCAUAUCAAUAAGCGGAGGA
rnacentral:misc_RNA from 1 species